rnacentral:rRNA from 1 species
AACGAACGCUGGCGGCAGGCUUAACACAUGCAAGUCAAGCGCCCCGCAAGGGGAGCGGCAGACGGGUGAGUAACGCGUGGGAAUCUACCCAUCUCUACGGAAUAACGCAUGGAAACGUGUGCUAAUACCGUAUACGUCCUUCGGGAGAAAGAUUUAUCGGAGAUGGAUGAGCCCGCGUUGGAUUAGCUAGUUGGUGGGGUAAAGGCCUGCCAAGGCGACGAUCCAUAGCUGGUCUGAGAGGAUGAUCAGCCACACUGGGACUGAGACACGGCCCAGACUCCUACGGGAGGCAGCAGUGGGGAAUAUUGGACAAUGGGCGCAAGCCUGAUCCAGCCAUGCCGCGUGAGUGAUGAAGGCCCUAGGGUUGUAAAGCUCUUUCACCGGUGAAGAUAAUGACGGUAACCGGAGAAGAAGCCCCGGCUAACUUCGUGCCAGCCGCCGCUGUAAGAC